UACGGAGGGGGCUAGCGUUGUCCGGAAUCAUUGGGCGUAAAGAGCGUGUAGGCGGCCCGGUAAGUCCGCUGUGAAAGUCGGGGGCUCAACCCUCGGAUGCCGGUGGAUACUGUCGGGCUCGAGUACGGAAGAGGCGAGUGGAAUUCCUGGUGGUAGCGGUGAAAUGCGUAGAGAUCAGGCAGAACACCUGGGGCGAAGGCGGCCAGCUGGGCCGUCCCUGACGCUGAGGCGCGAAGGCGUGGGGAGCGAACGGG
rnacentral:rRNA from 1 species